rnacentral:rRNA from 1 species
UACGGAGGGUGCGAGCGUUGUCCGGAAUCAUUGGGCGUAAAGCGCGCGUAGGCGGCCCUGUAAGUCCGUUGUGAAAGUCAAAGGCUCAACCUUUGAAAGCCGAUGGAUACUGCAGGGCUAGAGUCCGGAAGAGGCGAGUGGAAUUCCUGGUGUAGCGGUGGAAUGCGCAGAUAUCAGGAGGAACACCAAUAGCGAAGGCAGCUCGCUGGGACGGUACUGACGCUAAGGCGCGAAAGCGUGGGGAGCAAACAGG